AGAGAGUUGACAGAGUGGCCGAUUGUGCUACCUUGGAAAGGUAGUGUACUUGCAAAGGUACCAAGGGUUCGAAUCCCUUACUCUCUG
rnacentral:tRNA from 1 species